GAUGAACGCUGGCGGCGUGCCUAAUACAUGCAAGUCGAGCGAACAGACGAGGAGCUUGCUCCUCUGACGUUAGCGGCGGACGGGUGAGUAACACGUGGAUAACCUACCUAUAAGACUGGGAUGACUUCGGGAAACCGGAGCUAAUACCGGAUAAUAUAUUGAACCGCAUGGUUCAAUAGUGAAAGACGGUUUUGCUGUCACUUAUAGAUGGAUCCGCGCCGCAUUAGCUAGUUGGUAAGGUAACGGCUUACCAAGGCAACGAUGCGUAGCCGACCUGAGAGGGUGAUCGGCCACACUGGAACUGAGACACGGUCCAGACUCCUACGGGAGGCAGCAGUAGGGAAUCUUCCGCAAUGGGCGAAAGCCUGACGGAGCAACGCCGCGUGAGUGAUGAAGGUCUUCGGAUCGUAAAGCUCUGUUAUUAGGGAAGAACAAAUGUGUAAGAAACUAUGCACGUCUUGACGGUACCUAAUCAGAAAGCAACGGCUAACUACGUG
rnacentral:rRNA from 1 species